rnacentral:ncRNA from 1 species
AGAAAAGUGAUGAUGGAGAUAAGUAAAAAAAAUAUUUCACCAACAGUGAACUGGAGAUAGUGUGAAUCCAGUGGCAGAGUUUUUUUGAAUAACACUCCGGAGUUGCAAACUGAAAUAUUUGUAAACUGUACCUUAAACUAAAUGUUUGAGAUAGGUUCAAAUUAAAGUAGGAGCGUCGUAUUCCAUGCGUUAUUUGGAUACCAGUAGUAGCUGGAAGGAGACCAUUAUUAUAUGGUAAAUUAGGUGGCACCGCGGAUAAGCAUCAAUUCGUCCUAUUG